AGUGAAUACAAAGCGCCUGAACUAAGUAAAGGGACGGAAACGACUUAGUUGACGAGGAGGAGGUUUAUCGAAGUAUCGGCGGAUGCCUCCCGGUUGUUGAUUAUCACGGCCGAAAACUUGAUGUGAAAAACAAUGAGGUGACUUAUUGGACAAAAGCAUUGAGAUGAUAAUCA
rnacentral:ncRNA from 3 species